CAAUUGAGGGUGAUCUGGCUAUGACAUCGGUCACCCCAUUGACACCAGGGCUGAGUUGGCUGGUCUGACUUGCAAGGCAGCUGCCCCUGUUCUCUCUCGCUGCUCCAUGUGUGUUCCUCCUGAAGAUUCACCCGUGGUUGAAGAGGAUGACCACUCCCAAUAGAAGAGGAUCAUUCUUAGGUCAAGGGUAUACGAACAGCUACACUCCCCUGCUAGAACCUCCAAACAAGCUCUCAAAGAAUCACUGAGAGUGAAGACAGCCUAUAUGAAACUACACAGAGG
rnacentral:snRNA from 1 species